ensembl:lncRNA
UCAGGCCCUAGCCCAAAUCUCCGGAACCAGAGCUUAGGGGCAGGGAGCUGGCUGCGAUUCAGCAAGCCUUCCAGGGGCUUCAACGCUUAAGUUUAAGAACUUCAGCACUCACAUCCAGAGUUUAAACUCUACCUCUGAAGUUACUUUGUGAAAGAAGGAGCACCCAUCAAAAGAGGAAUCCUCACACCAGCUACUGAGAGAAUAAAUAGGUCCAUAUCUCACUAUAUUCCAUAUCCACUACGACACAUCUGCUUCUUACUUUUCUCUCUCUUCGCCUCUGACCAGACACCUUCCCUUCCUUGUUAGGGAACAGAGGUGGAGCAUGGGCCUGGCCAUCCCUUUGACCACAGUCUGACUCACUGAGUUGCCAAGCCACUCCGGAGUAACCUGCUGAAUUGAGGAGACUUUGUGAAGGGAGUGCAUAUUGUGCGUGAACAUGAGUUUAUAACUCCCUAACCACCACCAGGAACCAGGUCAACAUUAUCUUCUGUAGAGUCCACACACUCAACUGUGUCAAGUGGACUGCCCCUGCUGAGACUGCCACUGGUUUUGUAGGCUCCUGUAGCCUCUGUCACUUCCUGGUCAUGCUGGGGUACAGAAAUCGCUGGCGGAGUUGGGAGCCCACGGGCCUCUAAACCAGUCUCCCUGGAGCCACAGAUGGAAGACUCCUUCUUUGAUGUCGUAGCUUCCCUCCAGCAGGACCUGAGUAAUCUCUCUUUGAGGGCUAUCAGACUUCUCUUUUUCUUCUUCUUCCAAACAUUGAGCUCCCUCAUUAUCAGCAUCACCCACCAGGUGGAAGUCAAUGAGUGAUCUACGAGGAUGACUCCGAUGUUUCAACAGAAAAAGCAUGCGCAUCAACAAGUCAAAUGAGUGUGUGCCACUGCACCACAGCGCUCCCUCUGCUCCGCGUGAGGCCCGCACAGCAAAAGUUCCUGUCAGCGCAUGCUUUGGUAGAGAUGUUAGGGACAGACCCAGACACGCCAGCAAGGCCUGACCAUGGGACAGGAGCCAUGGGCAGUGAAGAGCUGCAAUGGGUUGAGGGUUAGGGCUAAACUUAUAAGGCAUAGCCCAGCCAGAAGGACCUAGAGCAGGUAGAGGAAAUGUCUUCCUCCCCUACAGUUUGGCAACUUGGACAGGAUAAAAUUUCAUUGACUGGACACUGCUCCCUCCUGGACUGCUGCAGCCCAGAGAUCCUGGACCCCUGACGAGAGCCAGCAAGAGGACACAAUUGGAAACACUGGUUAUCUUACCAAAACUUUGACUGGAAUGUCAUAUUUGAGAGACAUAGGCAUCGACCUAGAUGUGACCAGACAGCUUUUGAGAAACAAUGAUUGGACUUUAUGGAAUAAAGCCGCUUGGAAAUAUUGGCCUAGUACCUUGUUUCCUAGCAACCCUACCCCAGGUAAGUAAGGAAGGUCUCUUAUCUGGCAGGUACCUGGUACCUUAAAAUAUUUUGGGGAACCUCAAGAGAAGAGAGGAAUUCACCCAAAUCUAAGGUAUUGCAAGCAAGAGCUGAUGACAAAUCGUUAGCUUGACUUUCUUGGCCUUGAGAGGCCUUUAAAGUUCAAUCUGAGAUUCCAUAUAAAAAGUUCCAGGAAAGCAGAUUUACAAGAGCCCAUAUGAUCAAUGGCUAUUCUUGCUGUACUUAUGUAAAUAAUUGGGCCAAGUUUAUUGAAGCUAAACUCAUUUUGUAAAACAGUUAGUCUUAAUUUGGCUAUCUUUGGUAAAAAUGAGGGUGAUUUUAGAGAGAAUAAUUAUGUUUCAGUAAAAAACCAUAAUACAUAUUUGUGGAUAUUAGAUCCUAGUUCUGUUAAUUGUCUUUGAGGUUUUUGUUUUCUACCUGUGAAGUGGACUGGAUCCUGAAUACUUCUAGUCUCCUGAAAUAUCUGGCUACAAAUCUCCAAACUAAUGUUCUCAAUUUUUUCCAUCAUUUUCAUUUGGAAUCAUUGAGAACUAAAUGUGCCCUUUUCCCUGAAGCCUUGCAAACUGAAGCUGAACAACUUGAUAUAAACUUAACAGAGAUACAUGUCUGUUGCUGUGUAAACUGUAAACCACUCAGAAAGAUACUUGAACACCUGAUGACAUCAUCAGAGGUGUCUCAGGCUGCAAAAGGUGCUUUGACUCUGACAUCUAGAAAUCUAGAAAUCUUGACUGGCUGCCCCCUGGGCUCAGGAACUGGUUUAUAACUUGCUCCAACUGUUAACCUUGUUUUUUUUAUUUUUAAUUCCAUAGAAAUACUUCUUCUUAGAUACCUGACUGCUGGGGGCUGGCCUGGUGGCGCAGCGGUUAAGUUUGCACGUUCCUCUUUGGUGGCCCAGGGUUCACCAGUUCAGAUCCCGGGUGCGGACAUGGCACUGCUUGGCAGGCCAUGCUGUGGUAGGCAUCCCACAUAUAAAGUAGAGGAAGAUGGGCACAGAUGUUAGCUCAGGGUCAGUCUUCCUUAGCAAAAAGAGGACGAUUGGCAGCAGAUGUUAGCUCAGGGCUAAUCUUCCUCAAAAAAAAAAAAAAAAAAACGCAAACAAACAAAAAAACCUGAGUGCUUGUUUCCACAAUAUAGGCCUAACUUUGGGAGCCCACCUGCAUCACCACAUUCUAAAAUGAAUUUAACUGGACUGAUCUAUCACCAGGACUAAGAAAUGUGUUCAGUGAGAUGAAACAAUGUACCACUCAGCUUCUGGACCAUGAAACUUCUUAAAGUUUCAAAGGCGGGACUGUGGGGGACUGGAAUUGGCCACCCCAAAAUGUGUCUCUGUGGCAUGAUUAUUUUGUCCUGAUUACUUUUAAAAACUGCUGACACUGAAACCAGCAACAGCCAUUGACGAUUAAGUAGUUACUAAAGUCUUUUCCUUUUUGCAAUUACUGAUGAUAGCUUUU